rnacentral:tRNA from 1 species
GCAUUGGUGGUAUAGUGGUGAGCAUAGCUGCCUUCCAAGCAAUUGACUUGGGUUUGAUUCCUGGCCAAUGCA